GUCUAUUAACAAAAAGCUGGCUUGAUACAAUCCUGCUGUAACAGCCCUAGGAGCACAGUCCUGGUGCCAGGACUAAGCAGGGCUGGGUGAGGUUCAGAGGUUUCCUUGCAGGGAGAGUUAGAGAGAGGGCCUGUGUGAGAAGAGGGCAUUGGGGUGAAGAGCUGGAAGAUUAAGGGAGCUGGAAUUUAGCUAGUGGCUGCAGAGGAUGUUACAGUCCAGAGGGACUAGCCAGGGUGCAGGCUCCCAACAGGACAGCGAGAAGGGACUGUUCCUCAGCCAUCAUUAGUGUCUAGGCAUGAAGUUCAGAUGAUGGCCAGCAAGCAGUGGAUGUGGAAGUCUGGGCUUCAGUGAAGUCAGAGGUUUGAUAAUGAGAAUCAUGGGUGUUUUAAACAUUUGCUGUUUUUAAGUUCUAUGUGGAUGUGUGUGCUUGCAUGUGGGUGUGGGCACACGAGUGUUAUGCUCACGAAGGCCAAAAGUGUCAGAUCUCCUGGGUUACAGACAGUUAUGAGCCUCCUGACAUGGCCGCUGGGAACUGAACCCAGGUCCUCUGGAAGAGCAGCCAGUGCUCUUGACCCCUGAGCUAUGGCUCCAGCAUAUGCAUGAGCAUUUGAAAGGGUCCACGCUCUCCAGAGUGGGUAGGAUGAACUGGGGAGAAAGUGAAGGAGAGAGCAGCCCGUGCAGGGGUCAGCUGUGUGUGUGUGUGUGUGUGUGUGUGUGUGUUAUGUUUGUGUGUGUGUGUGCACUCGCACACGCGUGCGCACUCACGCUCAACGCCCCUGUGCAUGUGCGUCUGUGGAAUGAGCUGCAUGUCAGGGAGUGUGGUAAGGGGACCCAGGGGAGGUAUUUCAAGAAGCAAAUGUUCCAGUCUAUUCCAGCUGCCAAGAGGUCCAUUAGGAGAGGACAGAGGGACUGUAUGAUUCAGUGGCUUGGAAAUCAUGUGACCAGACACACCCAUUCCCCCGAAGUGAGGCAGGUUGAGGAGCAAGUGCAAUUGAAGACAGUCGGCAAACACAGAACUCCAUGUUUCAGUCUCUCUCUCUCUCUCACACACACACACAAUUCUCUCACAUGUGGGGUUUCUGUCUCUUUCACACACAGAAUUCUCUCUCUCUCUCUCUCUGUCUGUCUGUCUCUCUUUUUCACACACACACACACACACACACACACACAGGGUUCCUUCUCUCACACAAAGAACUCUGUCUGUCUCUAUCUCUGUCUGUCUGUCUCUCUGUUUCUCUCUCUCCCUCUCCCUCCCUCUCUCUCUCUCUCCCUCUCCCCCCCCCUCUCUCUCACACACACACACACAGAGGCAAGGAGAGUUCUGAGUCAAGAAAAGGAGGGUGUCUUGAGACAGAAGAUGGAUCAUUAGGCGUGUGGAGUUUACCUCUCAUGAUAGAAAGUCCUGUAAUGACAGUGUUCCCAUAGAGAGUACUGUUGACUUCCCUGGCCGUGCUAGUGAGUGGAGCUGGAGUUCAUGGUCAUGUUUGCAGGACUCCAAGUGCUUAAGAGAAUCUGUAAGCGGAGACCAGAGGCCGACAAAGGAAGACUUAUUGUGGUGAACGAGUGGAUGGGCACGUCUGUUCAUGUCUGAGACACGUCUCUGUUGAGUUUAGCUCUGUAGCGUGUGCUUUUUGUGGAAAGCAGCCUUGUGAGUUACAAUAGAGGCACUCCUUAAGUCAUGGAUCUCUUAGCUGAGGUUCACAGACCUGCAGUCAGCAGCCCAAGGGACCAUGUCUGGCAAGUGGCAGAAGUGGGUUUCAAUGAAUUUAUUUUAUGUGUAUGAGUGUUUUGCCUGUAGGUGUGUCUGUGUACUACAUGUGUUCCCGGUGCCCGAGGAGGCUGGAAGAGAGCGCUGGAUCCCCUGGAACUGGAGUCACGGGUGUUUGCAAGCUGCUGUGUGGUUUCUGGGAAUUGAACCUGGGUCCUCUGCAAAAGGAGCCAGUGCUCUUAACCACUGAACCACCUCUCCAGUCCCAGAACUAGACUUUUGAACAGGCAUUUUGACUCCAGAGUGUAUGUAUUUCAUUCUUCCUGCAGCCCACCGAGAACAUGUAGACUUUCCAGACCGAAUGCAUAUCUAAUUAUAAAUGCUAGCCUGUGGGAAGAUAAGGAAGAGACCACGCAUUAACCAUACAGUAGCCCCACAGACUAGAGAUUAUUAAGUAAAUUAUGAUUAUUUAUUGAGUGAGUUAUAGGACUAGUACACACAAGCAGAUUAAGAAAGGAAGAAGCUAUUUGAGAAGCACACGGCCUACUCCGUACACCAGGAAGCACAGCCCGCCUGUUCCCAGUGGCAUCUCCUAUUCUCAAGCAGUAUCCAGCCUAUGUGUCUGUGGCUUAAAGAACAGCAGAUAAAGCAUGGGGAUCUUUAUGACAUCCGCACAGGCUGUAGCUCACGUGGUCCAGGAGACACCAUGACAUGAGUCAAACCGUCAAAGAGUAAAGACUCACGGGAUCUCAGUGACACAAUCUGAAGUCACAAAAACAGAAAAAGGGGACGUAGUGGGACGUGCGUACCUUUAAAGAAAGUUAAUCAGAAAGCAGAGAAAACAUAAACACAGAGUCCAAGGUAACGACUGCUUACAGGGAAAAGACGGGAGAGAAGCUAAGCCCUGAGAUGUCGGGGACUCUGGGGUACCCCCACUGCUGAUUGCUAGAUGGGCUGGUAGGUACACGGCUUAUUUUUCGUGGCUGUGAUAAAACCCCACAGCCAAAGGUGAUUUAUAGAAAAAAGGAGUUUAUUUGGGUUUGUGGUUCCACAGGGAGGAGCCGUAGUGGUGAAGGAGUCAUGGCAGCAGGGGCCAGAGCAGAGCCGAGAGACCGCAUCUUCAGAACAGCAGACAGGAAAAGAGUGGACAGGAAGAGGGACAACGCUAUAAGUGCACAAAGCCUGAUAUCAUCAAGGUCCACCACCUCACCGAACGGCCGAGUGGGGGACAUUUCCCAUCCAGACCACCCCAGUGUGCAUACAGAUGUUUGCCUAGAAAUACUUUUAAUACUGUAUGAAGGGACUCCGGCCAGGGAACCAGGCUCGGAACCGCUAGCGUUCCUGUCCCGCCUCAUCAACGUGUCUCCUCGCACACCCUUCUCACCAGUUGGGGUCCUCAUACUUCAUUACAGAAAGCAGAGCCACUCGUGAGGAAAGAAAACAUUGGAAGGAAGUGCCUGGGGCAGCAGAGUUUCAGCGCACUGGUACGGUGUUCAGGCUCUUUAGGUGCGCACUUCAGACGCCCAGCACCCGCUGACUCAGAGAAGUGCUGCGGUGGGACUGUCUGUAGAAAGUUCCCGCAGCUUGAGAAGCCCUCAUAAAGACGGAGACCAUUGGUGUUUCAAGGGAGCUGCUAGUUCAAGAGAUGAAUCCAAAAGGAACUCCUUCGGAGAUGAUUAGAUCAGCCACGUCCAGCAGAUGAAGAUCAACCAGUGCCACAUUUAUUCUAUGUGCCAUGAACGACCCACACGCCUUCUCACUGAUGGGAGCUCGUUGGGAGGGAAACCUAGAAUUCUGAACGGGAAGAUGACCUUACUGCUCUCAGGUGACUCCACGCAAACCCUCUAUUUGUACUUUGAGGGGGCAAAGAGCCAAAUGCACUCCGCGUUUCUGUUUGUUUUUGAGACGGAGUCUCACUGUAUGUCUCACUGGCCACCCUGAUACGGGAGAUCCUCCUGCCUCCGGUUUCUGAGUGCUAGCAACUGCAGGCAUAUAGCAUUACACCUGGCCCAAAUGCAUUUUAAAAAAUGUUAAUUUUAUGUGUAUAGAUGUUAGCCUGCACAUUUGUAUGCACCUCUAGAGGCCAGAAGAAGGCAUUGGGUCCCCCCUGGAACUGGAAUUAUAGAUGGCUGCCAGCCACGGCAUUGAUGUUGGGCACCAAAAGCAACACGAGAUCUUUUUUUUUUUUUUUUUUUUGGUUCUUUUUUUCGGAGCUGGGGACCGAACCCAGGGCCUUGCGCUUCCUAGGCAAGCGCUCUACCACUGAGCUAAAUCCCCAACCCCCGCAACACGAGAUCUUAACUAUUGCGUCACUUUCCCUAUCCCAGCCUAGUGCGUUCCUGCUUGCUUUCUUCCUUCCUUCCUUCCUUUCUUUUUUUGUUCAAAAGAACAGGCCUACUUUUUGUGGGUAUGAAGAAUCCCGCAUUAGAUUAAAUAUGUCUGCCUGGAUGUAGGGAGGUCUCAGUUUACAGAUGUGGAGGUUCCAGCCAAUGAUCUUUGCCCUUUUGCUGUGUGUUUGCAGCAGGGCAGCAUGUCAUGGAGGGAGCCCACAGGGAAGAUGGGCUCCUAUGUCCAGGAGACAAACAGGAAAAUGGAUGAGAGUCCCACGGCCCCCUUUUCCUCCCUUCAGUAAUUCAGGACCCACCUUAUAAAGCUUACAUCACCUCACAGUGGCGCCACCCCCCAACCAUAGGUUUGACAAUUUAGGAAGAUAUUUGGACAAUAGCCUCCACAGAUGUCUGCAUGUGCGUGCAUACACACACACACACACACACACACACACACACACAGAAAGACACAUACAGAGAGAGACACACACACACACACACACACACAGAAAGACACAUACAGAGAGACACACACACAGACACAGACACACACACACACUCACACAGAGAGGCACACACAGACACAGACACACACAUAGAUACACACACAGACACACACGCACACAGAGAGAGACACACACAUAGAUACACACACACUAACACACACAGAGACACACAUAGAUACACACACAGACACACACGCACACAGAGAGAGACACACACAUAGAUACACACACACUAACACACACAGAUACAUACACACACAGACACAGACACACACAUAGAUACACACACACAGACACACACGCACACAGAGAGAGACACACACAUAGAUACACACACACUAACACACACAGAGACACACAUAGAUACACACACAGACACACACGCACACAGAGAGAGACACACACAUAGAUACACACACACUAACACACACAGAUACAUACACACACAGACACAGACACACACAUAGAUACACACACACAGACACACACACUAACACACACACAGACAAAUACAUACACACAAGUCCCCCCUCCCCCCCAAGUGCUCAUGGGCAAGGGCGAACAAUGGCCACAUGGAUUUCUGCAUAGAGCACAUUCUUGGGGACAGGAGUGCGCAGGAACCAGAGAGACCACUGUGUAGGGCGCUCUCUGAAUAGGAAGGCAGACACAGCCCUAAGAGAUGUGACAUCUUCCAGAGGUUUUAUAUGAUUCUCAGAGUCUAUAGCUUUCUCUAAAGGACGUUUUCCUGCCCCUCGUGAUAGAUAAACCUGUUUGGACCAAUCUCUAAGGGAGUGGACAAGUGUAUUUGUUCUGUGCUGCAAAGCCUCCAGUUAGACAGUCAUCUCAUGACUCUCUGGGCAGCUCAGACAAUUACAAAUCAGACCCGGUAUGGUCACAGCUCUCUACCGUCAGCUCCUGGUUUUACAGGCUGCUGAUUGUGAAACCUGGGGGCCAUCGCCGAUGACCUUCAAGCCCUCUAACCUUCCACCAAAUACCUCUCCCCUCUGCCACAUUAAUUCAACAGGCAAUUUCCUUGGGGAUAAAGGAGUGUCUCCUUUACUCUGAGACUGUGGCCACCGUGCUCCCAGAGUUUUUGGAGAAGCCUUUUAUUACGCCGAGCAGCCUUGGCGUGGCCCGGGACGUGUCUUCUAUGUCUUCUAGAUUCAUGGCCCCCAACGUGAGGAUUCUCCGACUGGGCGAACCUCUCGGCACGGACAGCCUUCACCACUCCACUGAUGCCAUUGACCUCCACGUGCAGUUCGUCUCAUGGAUUCUUAUUUCUGGAUCACCUUUGCAUUUAAAGACAUCAUAAAAUCGGUUUUAUGUAUUUUGAAA